CGGGUGAGUAAUACAUCGGAACGUACCCAGGAGUGGGGGACAACCUCGAGAAAUCGAGGCUAAUACCGCAUACGUCCUGAGGGAGAAAGCGGGGGAUUCGCAAGAACCUCGCGCUCAUGGAGCGGCCGAUGUCCGAUUAGCUAGUUGGCGGGGUAAGAGCCCACCAAGGCGACGAUCGGUAGCUGGUUUGAGAGAACGACCAGCCACACUGGGACUGAGACACGGCCCAG
rnacentral:rRNA from 1 species